UUUCCGUAGGUGAACCUGCGGAAGGAUCAUUAUCGUAGAAAAUGUAGGGGGCACGCGAGGUCUGUCGCUGACCUAACAGUCGUGCACGCCCGAGUGCGUCCUCUUGCAUAAUAAUCCAUCGCACCCUUUGUGCACCACCGCGUGUUAACCCUUCCGCAUGAACUCGGAGGGGGGCUCGAGUUUUCACACAAACUCUCCUUUUAUAUGUGUAGAAUGACCAAAUUUAUGCAUUAAUUACAACUUUCAACAACGGAUCUCUUGGUUCUC
rnacentral:misc_RNA from 1 species